CUGAGUUAUGGUUCUGACAAGGCUCUGUCUACCUCAGUAUGCCUCUGCUCCUAGGAGUGCAGAAUGGGGACCUGUGAGCAGAAAUUUCAGGGAGGUUCAGCUCUCCAUGAUCUGAUUCUGCCUCCUUGGAAGUAGAGUUGGUCAGAGCAGGCAGAGAAGGAAGCUGGCAGAAGACGGAGAUCACAAGUGGACAGAGAAGCAGGCAGAGAGAG